UACAGAGGGGGCAAGCGUUGUUCGGAAUUACUGGGCGUAAAGGGCGCGUAGGCGGCCUUCUACGUCGAACGUGAAAUCCCCGGGCUCAACCCGGGAACUGCGUCCGAUACUGGAAGGCUUGAAUCCGGGAGAGGGAUGCGGAAUUCCAGGUGUAGCGGUGAAAUGCGUAGAUAUCUGGAGGAACACCGGUGGCGAAGGCGGCAUCCUGGACCGGAAUUGACGCUGAGGCGCGAAAGCCAGGGGAGCAAACGGG
rnacentral:rRNA from 1 species